GUAGGUGAACCUGCGGAAGGAUCAUUAAUGAAUUUAAAAUAUAAGGGGAGCUGCUGCUGGCCGUCCUUCAGGGGGCGUCAUGUGCACGCUCUUCUUUUAUUCGUUCAUCUCACACCCGUGCACCUUUUGUAGGUCCGAGCGAUCGGCCUAUGUACCUUUUUUUAUUUACACCCCACAAAAGUAAACCGAAUGUCAUAAAUAAACGGACGAGAGUCCUUUAAUUUAAAAACUUAUACAACUUUCAACAACG
rnacentral:misc_RNA from 1 species